CCCUUAGAUGUCCGGGGCCGCACGCGCGCUACACUGAAGGAAUCAGCGUGGCUUUCUCCCUGACCCGAAAGGGUUGGGAAACCCGUUGAAUCUCCUUCGUGAUAGGGAUUGGGGCUUGAAAUUGUUCCCCAUGAACGAGGAAUUCCCAGUAAGCGCGAGUCAUAAGCUCGCGUUGAUUACAUCCCUGCCCUUUGUACACACCGCCCGUCGCUACUACCGAUUGAACGGUUUAGUGAGGGCCUCGGAUUGGUCUCGGCCCGCUCUUUACCGGGCGGCGCCGUUGGUCGAGAAGACGCUCGAACUUGAUCGUUUAGAGGAAGUAAAAGUCGUAACA
rnacentral:rRNA from 1 species